rnacentral:rRNA from 1 species
GACGAACGCUGGCGGCGUGCCUAAUACAUGCAAGUCGAACGCUGAAGGAGGAGCUUGCUUCUCUGGAUGAGUUGCGAACGGGUGAGUAACGCGUAGGUAACCUGCCUGGUAGCGGGGGAUAACUAUUGGAAACGAUAGCUAAUACCGCAUAAGAGUAGAUGUUGCAUGACAUUUGCUUAAAAGGUGCAAUUGCAUCACUACCAGAUGGACCUGCGUUGUAUUAGCUAGUUGGUGGGGUAACGGCUCACCAAGGCGACGAUACAUAGCCGACCUGAGAGGGGGAUCGGCCACACUGGGACUGGGACACGGCCCAGACUCCUACGGGAGGCAGCAGUAGGGAAUCUUCGGGAAUGGACGGAAGUCUGACCGAGCAACGCCGGGUGAGUGAAGAAGGGUUUCGGAUCGUAAAGCUCUGUUGUAAGAGAAGAACGAGUGUGAGAGUGGAAAGUUCACACUGUGACGGUAUCUUAACAGAAAGGGACGGCUAACUACGUG